rnacentral:SRP_RNA from 12 species
CGGCGCGGAGACGGGCUUGAUCGAUGAGGAUGUUGGCGUCGGCGGUUAGGCCGGCAACGGAGCAGGUUGCGUGGGGGCAG